rnacentral:ncRNA from 1 species
UCAGUGUGGAUGGAAACUUCCUGUAAAUAGUUACCACAGGGAUAACUGCCUUGUGGCAGCCAAGCGUUCAUAGGGACGUCGCUUUUUGAUCCUUUGAUGUCGGCUCUUCCUAUCAUUGUGAGGCAGAAUUCACCAAGCGGUAGGUAGUUCACUCACCAAUAGGGAAUAUGAGUUGGCUUAGACCAUCGUGAGACAGGUUAGUUUUACCCUACUGA